rnacentral:misc_RNA from 1 species
UCUCCGUUGGCGAACCAGCGGAGGGAUCAUUACCGAGUUUACAACUCCCAAACCCCUGUGAACAUACCAUUUGUUGCCUCGGCGGUGCCUGCUUCGGCAGCCCGCCCGAGGACCCAAACCCUUGAUUUUAUACAGUAUCUUCUGAGUAAAUGAUUAAAUAAAUCAAAACUUUCAACAACGGAUCUCUUGGUUCUG